GUUGUCAAAUAUGAUUCCUGGUGCUAUACAGUUAAUCCUCAUUGCUUAUCUGUUUUACUAAUAGUAGUGGGUAUCUGUUAAUCCCAAACUCCUAAUUUAUCCCUCCCGCUUCCCUUUCCCCUCUGGUAACCCUAAGUUUUUUUGUGUCUGUGAGUCUGUUUCUGUUUUGUACAUAAGUUUAUUUUUAUUAUAUUUUAGGUUACAUAUACAAGUGAUCUCAUAUAGUAUUUGACUUUCUAUGUCUGAUUUACUUCAGUAAGUAUAAUAAUCUCUAGGUCCAUCCACAUUGCUGCAAAUGGCAAUAUUUAAUUUUCUUAUGGCUGAGUAAUAUUCCAUUGUGUGUGUG